UCCAUACUGGUGUAUCGGUAACAUUUCCGCCUUUCAAGUUCAUGUCAUUCAGCGACGAACAGCGAUCGCGGGAGCGCAGGGUUCGACUCCCUGGUAUGGAA